AACGAACGCUGGCGGCAGGCUUAACACAUGCAAGUCGAGCGCCCCGCAAGGGGAGCGGCAGACGGGUGAGUAACGCGUGGGAACGUACCUUUUGGUUCGGAACAACUCCGGGAAACUGGAGCUAAUACCGGAUAAGCCCUAACUGGGAAAGAUUUAUCGCCGAAAGAUCGGCCCGCGUCUGAUUAGCUAGUUGGUGAGGUAACGGCUCACCAAGGCGACGAUCAGUAGCUGGUCUGAGAGGAUGAUCAGCCACACUGGGACUGAGACACGGCCCAGACUCCUACGGGAGGCAGCAGUGGGGAAUAUUGGACAAUGGGCGCAAGCCUGAUCCAGCCAUGCCGCGUGAGUGAUGAAGGCCUUAGGGUUGUAAAGCUCUUUUGUCCGGGAAGAUAAUGACUGUACCGGAAGAAUAAGCCCCGGCUAACUUCG
rnacentral:rRNA from 1 species